GCUGACUCUCUUUUCGGACUCAGCCCGCCUGCACCCAGGUGAAAUAAACAGCCAUGUUGCUCACACAAAGCCUGUUUGGUGGUCUCUUCACAGGGACACGGAUGAAAUUUGGUGCCGUGACUCGGAUCGGGGAACCUCCCUUAGGAGAUCAAUCCCCUGUACUCCUUUUCUUUGCCCUGUGAGAAAGAUCCACCUAUGACCUCAGGUCCUCAGACCGACCAGCCCAAGGAACAUCUCACCAAUUUUAAAUCAGACCUUGAAGAUUUGUUGUUCAAGGAGAAACUGAAGAGCAAGAAGGAAAGUGAGAGCCAGCAAUACCAGCAGAGCCAGAUCUGAGCUGGGAGAAGGGGAGAAAGUUUGUGAAGAGGAGAUCGGUGACCUGGGCUCCUUAUGUGCCUGAAAGAGUUUGAGUUUCCUGUUAACUCCAAAUCAACAGUAUUUUCAACAAGAAAUGUGCAAUUGAAAUCAAGUGCUGUUUAAGUGCAGCUAGGAUUUCCACAGGAAGACACUUGCAGUGAACAGAGUUAUGGAGCAGCAAAAACACAGAUCUAUUUGGAAAAAGAGAAAACAUAUGCGUUGUAUUUUGCUUCAAUUAUAAAAUACCAUCCUCUCAAAGGUGGUUCUAAAUUACAAAGGACUUUGAUUUCUAGGUAGAUUCUGGGUAGAGACUUCCUUUCAUAUUGAGGCAUUAAUGACACCUUUUAACCUGGGAAGCAAUAUGACUGGAGUUGUACUUUGAGAAGAUUAAUCAGGUUUGGUUGCAGAAUGAAAGAGAAGAUGAAGUCAAGAGAUUGGUUUAGAGGCUCUAGCAGAAGCUUAGUCAUAUUUCAAAAUGAUCAAAUAUCAAGAAAAAUUCUGAGCUGCAUAACUUGUAUAAAGUAAUUUUCAGUGAUUUUUUUCAUGGUUAUGAUAAAAGAACUGGAUUAGCAGAAACUUUUACCCUGAAUCAAGAUUUAAUUUUUCUUUGAGCUCAUCUUAAGGAUAUCGGAACAUAGGGAGCAAACGAUGGUGUGGCUGCCUCAGUGCUUGAUUUUUAACGGUUUUGAAGAGAAUAGUUACAUUUCUUCUCCUAGUAAGAACUAAUAAAUACAUUAACAGAAAUGAAUUCCCUAUCCCUUUGUACACUGGUCUAUUUCUUCAAAACAUUAAAUACUAUUGAUAAGAUAUCACCUUUUA
rnacentral:lncRNA from 10 species